rnacentral:rRNA from 1 species
UGAUAAGGUCCGUGUUCGAAAGGGAAACAGCCCAGACCACCAGCUAAGGUCCCAAAAUAUAUGUUAAGUGGAAAAGGAUGUGGCGUUGCCCAGACAACUAGGAUGUUGGCUUAGAAGCAGCCAUCAUUUAAAGAGUGCGUAAUAGCUCACUAGUCGAGUGACACUGCGCCGAAAAUGUACCGGGGCUAAACAUAUUACCGAAGCUGUGGAUUGUCCUUUGGACAAUGGUAGGAGAGCGUUCUAAGGGCGUUGAAGCAUGAUCGUAAGGACAUGUGGAGCGCUUAGAAGUGAGAAUGCCGGUGUGAGUAGCGAAAGACGGGUGAGAAUCCCGUCCACCGAUUGACUAAGGUUUCCAGAGGAAGGCUCGUCCGCUCUGGGUUAGUCGGGUCCUAAGCUGAGGCCGACAGGCGUAGGCGAUGGAUAACAGGUUGAUAUUCCUGUACCACCUAUAAUCGUUUUAAUCGAUGAGGGGACGCAGUAGGAUAGGCGAAGCGUGCGAUUGGAUUGCACGUCUAAGCAGUAAGGCUGAGUAUUAGGCAAAUCCGGUACUCGUUAAGGCUGAGCUGUGAUGGGGAGAAGACAUUGUGUCUUCGAGUCGUUGAUUUCACACUGCCGAGAAAAGCCUCUAGAUAGAAAAUAGG